rnacentral:rRNA from 1 species
GACGUAGGGCGCGAGCGUUGUCCGGAUUUAUUGGGCGUAAAGAGCUCGUAGGCGGCUUGUUACGUCGACUGUGAAAACCCACGGCUCAACCCCGGGCCUGCAGCCGAUACGGGCAGACUAGAGUUCGGCAGGGGAGACGUGGAAUUCCUGGUGUAGCGGUGAAAUGACGCAGAUAUCAGGAGGAACACCGGUGGCGAAGGCGGGUCUCUGGGCCGAUACUGACGCUGAGGAGCGAAAGCGUGGGGAGCGAACAGGA